rnacentral:lncRNA from 1 species
UCACCUGCUCCACCGCGUUGGUCACCAGAGGCCCGAUUCCGUCGCCGGGUAUCAGAGUGACGGGACGUGGAGCUCCGUCUCCCGGCCGGGGCAUGUAGGUGACGGAUCGGGUUUGGAGAUCAGGUCGGGACGUGUUUCUCGCCGUUGUUGAGGUCAGAUGUUUAAGGAGAGAGAGGCAACGCCACCGGCGAGACAUUUUCCGUUUCUUUUUUUCCGAUUGCUGGAAGAGCCCGUCUCUGGAUCGAAGGAAAAGCUUUUCUAUUCGGAUUUUCUG